UCCUUUCUUCAGUCACCACCACCAAACUGACUUAUCGGCAUCACAACUUUUUGCAUUGGGAGCAGAUUGUCAAAGUUAUGCUAAAAGCAAUGGUCGUAAGGUUUGUUUAACGUCCACAAAUUCCUCUGAGGAUCCUCACCGGUUCAGAUCAUAUUGUCUAGAAAGUCAAUCUAAACUUCUGAGCUUAGGAAGGUUAGGACCGGCUACUCCCGGACUACCUUUCACCAUACAAGCCUUUGAUGAUUCGUAUUGGUUAUAAACCAAGUCUGUUUUUCACCUGAUGGACAAUGGGUGGCAAGUGCAUCUUUUGAUAAUUCUGUCAAGUUAUGGAAUGGGACUACAGGGAAAUUUGUUGCUACCUUCCGCCAUGUUCGGGGUGUCUACCAGAUCAGUUGGUCUGCAGACAGUAGACUAUUGUUGAGUGGCAGCAAAGAUUCUACAUUGAAGGUAUGCAUAGUUUCCCUUUUCUUUCAAUGAAUCAAAUAAAUACCAAUGGAUAUUAUUUAGCUUGGUUUGUACCUUAAAUUACAUCAACUCUCAUUAGCAAACAA